rnacentral:rRNA from 1 species
CAGUAGCCGCGGUAAUACAGAGGGUGCGAGCGUUAAUCGGAUUUACUGGGCGUAAAGCGCACGUAGGCGGACAUUUAAGUCAGGGGUGAAAUCCCGGGGCUCAACCCCGGAACUGCCUUUGAUACUGGGUGUCUAGAGUAUGGAAGAGGUGAGUGGAAUUCCGAGUGUAGAGGUGAAAUUCGUAGAUAUUCGGAGGAACACCAGUGGCGAAGGCGGCUCACUGGUCCAUUACUGACGCUGAGGUGCGAAAGCGUGGGGAGCAAACAGGAUUAGAUACCCCAGUAGUCCCUGUCUCUUAUAC